rnacentral:snRNA from 1 species
GGAUGUGAGGGUGAUUUGGCUGCCACAUCCAUCACUCGCUUGAUCUCCAGGGUUGAUUUGGUUGGCUUGGAAGGUGUCUCCCCCCCCCGCCCCCCCCCCCCGCAUUCUAUUUGCAUUCCUCCCAAAAGCUUGGUGGAAAAAGACAGUUACCCCAGAUAGAAGAAAAGUUAAUUUUUCAAUCAAUAAUAUAUGAUAGCCACACUCCUCUGCUAAACUCUCCAUAGUCUUCCAGAGAUAAACAUUGAAAGCGAUUUCCAUGUCAUUAUUUGAAUAUAAAUCUAAUGUCACUU